GCAUUAUAAUGUACAGAUGUCAACAACCACAGUACUCAAUCUGCCACUUUCCUCGGUCUCCCAAGGAAAAUAGGAAGCUACCUGAGCCUACAACAGCCACAACUAUUUUAGCCUCCCAACAAUCCCCUUGAUACUGAUCUGGUUCUGUUAUUCUCUCUUUAGCUUCACUGGCUACUUCUCCGAUCAAAACUCCUCCACCCGCACAACUUCUCUCUUCUUAUUGUGAGAAAAAUCACAUCCCACCCACCCAAGAAAAAGAAAAAGAAAAAGAAAAGCAGCAACAAUCCUGUUGUACAAAUGCAGGCUGCAGCUAGUACUUACUUUUAUCGGCAGCAGCGUUAGAAAGAAAUUAAUGCUUCUGCUUACAAAAUGAUCUACGAGCUUCCAUGAGUUGAUAGGCAGUUACAGGACAAAAUAAU
rnacentral:lncRNA from 1 species